GAUGAACGCUGGCGGCGUGCCUAAUACAUGCAAGUCGAGCGAACAGAUGAGAAGCUUGCUUCUCUGAUGUUAGCGGCGGACGGGUGAGUAACACGUGGGUAACCUACCUAUAAGACUGGGAUAACUCCGGGAAACCGGGGCUAAUACCGGAUAAUAUUUUGAACCGCAUGGUUCAAUAGUGAAAGACGGUUUCGGCUGUCACUUAUAGAUGGACCCGCGCCGUAGUAGCGAGUUGGUAAGGUAACGGCUUACCAAGGCGACGAUACGUAUCCGACCUGGGAGGGUGAUCGGCCACACGGGAACGAGGACACGGUCAAGACUCCUACGUGAGGCAGCAGUAGGGAAUCUUCCGCAAUGGUCGAAAGCCUGACGGAGAAACGCCGUGUGAGUGAUGAAGGUCUUCGGAUCGUAAAACUCUGUUGUUAGGGAAGAACAAAUUUGUUAGUAACUGAACAAGUCUUGACGGUACCUAACCAGAAAGCCACGGCUAACUACGUGCCAGCCGCCGCCGUAA
rnacentral:rRNA from 1 species